UACAGAGGUCCCCGAGCGUUGUUCGGAUUCAUUGGGCGUAAAGGGUGCGUAGGCGGUCUUCUAAGUUUGAUGUGAAAUCCCGGGGCUCAACCCUGGAAUUGCAUUGAAUACUGGAGGACUAGAGUACCGGAGAGGAAACCGGAAUUUACGGUGUAGCAGUGAAAUGCGUAGAGAUCGUAAGGAAGACCAGUGGCGAAGGCGAGUUUCUGGACGGUAACUGACGCUGAGGCACGAAGGCCA
rnacentral:rRNA from 1 species